AGGGCCGCACCCACGGCAUAUGGAAUUUCCCAGGCUAGGCGUCUAAUCGGAGCUACACCAGAGCCACAGCUGCGCCGCGUCUGCGACCCUACACCAUGGGUCACGGCAACGCCGGAUCCUUAACCCACUGAACGAGGCCAGGGAUCAAACCCUCAACCUCAUGAUUCCUAGUCGGAUUCGUUUAUGCUACGCCAUGACGUGAACUCCAAAUGUCAAUAUUUUAAAAUAAUGUGGGGAGUUCCCAUUGUGGUGCAGUGGAAAUUAAUCUGACUCUUAUCCAUGAGGAUGCGGGUUGGAUCCCUGGCCUUCCUCAGUAGGUCAGGGAUCCUGAGUUGCUGUGGCGAUGGCGUAGGCCAGCGGCUGUAGCUCCAAUUUGACUCCUAGCCUGGGAACCUCCAUAUGCCGAGGGUGAGGCCCUAAAAAGCAGAAAAAAAAAAAAGUUUUUCAUUAUAUGACUUUUUUUUUUUUAACUAAAACUUCUCUCUCAUCCCUGCAGAAGAGAAGACUUGGGGUUCAGAGCCGCCCCCCCUCUCCUGCAGUGGAAAUGGACUUCCCUCGGGUCCAGUACAGGACUUCCCACACAGGCGGGUGGGUGAGUGCCCUUGGCGUUGCCCUCAUUGAUCCGGCUGGACACCAGAACUCUUCUGUGUAAGCUUCAGAGGCAAGGCGAUUUUUCUUGUGUUAGAGGUAGGCUGUCACCCAGGGUAUCUGGUAUUUUAGCUUUUAGCUUUAUGUUCUUCCCUUCCAGGUGGAAGGUGUCACCACUGCCUGCCCACAUCCAGCCACACACCCUCCCACGCAGCUGCAGGGGCAGUGCCCCAUGCACCAGUCCACCGCUGGGCUCGCAUUAGCUGCCUUCCCAUCAUGAUGACUGUUGAGUGUUGACAGGUACCAUAGAUUCACACUCCGGGGUCUUCCACUGCGAAUCCAACGCCGAUGCCAGCGGCUUUGUUCCACACAGCACCGAAGUUUCGUUUGUAGCUAGCCAGGAGUCAGAAAGUUGAAGGUUAAUCAAAUCUGAUGUUAGCCCACCCGUUGGGUAUGACCAUCAGAGAGCCCAGCAGAUUCCACUUUUUGUCAAAAUAUUUUAUUGCGCACAUGUGGAGGAGAUGGAGGAAAAGACUCCUUCCCAAUGGACGAUAAUUUGAUUUGAAGCGUAUUUUUUGUGUGUGGGUUCCUAUCUGAUUUUUUAACCGAGUUAAUUAUUCUUGCUUUCGUAAUAACUGUCUUGAUUUAACAUGUUUUAGCAAUGGCUACUGCUUAUCUUAAAUUACUGCUGCCUUUCGUUUGGGUAACCUAUGAUUUUUGAAGUCGUGCAACUAAAUUCAGGCUUUAAAGCCCAGAGAUGACUCUUGGAAAUAUCUGACAAUCUAAGUCUGAUAUUCCCACCACAUACUAACCGGAAUUAUGAUCUCCUCCAAAUCCCAUUCCUUCCCCAACCAUGUUACUUCUUUCCUUUUUUCAACACAGACAGGAGAAUCUGCUUAUGACAAGUUACACACCAGAAAAGACCUAUCUCUAUGAUGUGGGUGGGCAAGAUAAUUUAAGAUUUUACAGGCUUAUGCUCAACCCAUUAUUUUAAGGAUAAGAAACAGUAAAGGGAAAAGUUGGUUCCAGCAAUCCUGAUACUGCUCAUUAACUGGGGGACAGAAAGGAAUAAAUUAGGACUUUUCUGAUUAUUUCAGGUUCUCUCUCCCACUUCCCCACUCCACACACCCUCCCUGCUUCAGACAUUUAGACUGAGGAAGAAAGGCACUUUGUGUUUAAGGUUAAUCAAGUUUCAGUACAAUUUUUUUUUUUUUUUUUUUACAAACUAGAAUCACACUAAUCUUUUUUUCUUGCUCUAAUGUGUGGCUGUUGAAAUCCUCAGCUGUGAUAAAUUAAGCUACUUAUUAAUCUAAUUAUCGUACAUUCAUCCUAGAAACUUUCAUGUGACUUGAAAAGGCUAUUCAACCUUUUCCCUCCCCUCCUAGAAAGGGCUCAACCUUGCACCAAUUAAGAUCAUUCUGAAGUAAGGCUUUAAAAAAGCUUUCUCUAAUCACCCAAUGGAACAUGGACCAGUGGAAACCAAACUCAAAGCUCUGGGAAAAAGUUUAGCAUUCCUUUCUGUCUGCCAACUUUUAUGGUUUCAUUGCACGAGGAAGGAAGACUUCAUUUUCCUAUUUAGUUGUUCUUUCACUGACCUCCAAAUAAAGUCCAUGUAAUUACUGAGCAAAUAAAGUUGCAGCAUGUGUUUUAAAAAUCAAUUGCCAUUCUUGGACUAUAGAAAUGUAACAAUACACAGAUUUGCCGGAAAAUGCCUAGCGCCAACCAUAUGAACUAAACCCUGUACUGUAUCUGUACAAUGGAGUAGUUUUGACCCCUAAAGCACAUAUUUACUAUGCAGAUUUUUAAAAGGGCUCCUUUUAUGACUUAUCUAUUGAUAUUAAAAUGUCCCCAUCCUAAUAUAGGUUCAAUUUAGGAUUAAAAAUAUGUUGCAAAUGUAUCAUAUCUUAAACAUCCAUUCAUUGCCAAAUGCCUUACUUCUUUUUUUUUUAAUGAUGGCAAAAAUGGAGCUGUUUUACAUUCAAAUUAAACUAGCUAUUAAUUUGAAUGCAAAGCAGCUCAAUGUACAGGAUGCGGUCUCAAUGACAGGUUUACCCCAAGACAGAAUGCAGGAGCUGGUCCACAAGGGUGAGUCUGGGCGGAUUGUGCCCUACUCUGGGUGCCUGGCAAACUUGCUCACUGUGAAUAGUUUUUGAAGUGAAGAUUAAACGAGUGGAAUUAUAAAGUAUAAUUACAUUUUAUUGAAACUCUAGAAAUCAGAAAAAAUUCAGCAGGAAACUUUUAGUGAAACAUGAUGUGUUGUCAUUAUCAUUAAAAGAUAAAAGUUCCAUACUGUUUUUAUCUGUUUAUUUGGAAGAAAUCCAGCCUUUACAGUUAUGCAGGAAACAAAAAACGGGAAUGCAGGAGUAAUUAUUAAAACUGUGUGAUUUGUUAUCUCAGCUACUGUCUUUCCAAAUGGUAAUGCGAUAUCAGCAGCUGCAGACGGUCGCUGAUUUCCUCUAUUAGUAAACAAGUGCUUUGGAGACCUGUGUGAGGCACUUUAAGCUCGCUACUCCCCGAAGUGCUGUCAGGCUUAACUACUAAUCCAUGGUAUUUCAGAGCACUGGAAAUUCAUCUUUAUAAAACCUGAACAAAAAAGGGAAAAAAGCCUGGAGGGCAUGAGCUCCCUCUGGUGAGACAAAUGACAUGUUCAUUUAUUAAUGAAACAAUAACCCUGGAAAGAGGAUCAAAGCACAUUCCAUCCUCACUUUACAAUCCCCAAUUUUCUCAGGCCAAACCAUUUAAUUGAGCCAUGACAAUGGAAUACUUAAUUGUUGCCUUAAAGUUUUGAAGAAGCGACUUCUUCAGCAUCAAUGUGCAUUUCAGGAUUACUAUCCAAAUAGAAUAUAGCUGGGUUGAAGCUGGUGGAAUUUGAUUCUUCCCACACUGGGGUUGGGGGGCUUUGGCGGGCAGCAAAAGGGUUUCUUGUUGUACUCACUUGCCUCUUGUCCUAUCACUGCCCUUUCCCUUCCCUGAAAUAGCCCUGAUGGGUUAUUUCCUCAUGCUGAAAUAACUGGCCUCACUUGUGGGUGAUUGGGUAAGACUGGGUUCUUUUUGGCCUACCCCCUGCAUCUGGGACAUAAAUGAGGAACAGAGGGUGCCAGUCCCUAAACCCUGGACUUUAAGGGGUUUGGGAGUACUCAGUGUGGAGCUAGUAUUAAGUCUCCAAAGACUGGCCCAUACCAUGUGCAGUGGACAAGGCAAACUCACCUGCCCUCCCUGUGGGCUGUUCACCAGUUGUUUGAGAGUAAUUAUCAUGAUUCUGUCUUGCUAAAACUAACAAAAUACAUAGAAAAUUAAAAAAAAAUAUAUGAAAAGGUCUGUAUUUAAUUUAUACAUAUUAACCCUGGAUUUCACCACAGCAUUUUAGCUUGAUUUUUUGUUUGUUUAUAUUUAUACAAUAGUUUUUAUAGGGUUUACUUGAGUGCUGUUUUUCAAAUUAAACCAAAGUUUCAAUAGAGUCUUAAGGCACAAAAGUGGGGAGUUCAGAAAAUCCUUGCUGAUUUAUUGGGCAAAGAGGGCCAUGAAAACUUUAUAUGUAAUCUCUUGGACUCACCUGUCUUACAUUCAAACAUUCUAGGCCAUUUUGAUUCUAGGCCCAAUUUUCAAUCACAUGGCAUCAUUUGGAGUCUAUAAAUAGACUUCCUUUUACCUUGCACCUGCUCAUAUUUAUUCCUUAGGAGAUCCAUUAAGCCAAUGAAAACCAGUAGUCAGAAAUGAAGGUUGCAAGCAAUAAAAACAGUCAUGUUUUUUACGUUCUUGAGUAUCAUCCAUUUUAUUAAGUCUUAUGUGAGAUGGAGAGUGUAUUUUGAGAUGAUUUUCAUUAUCUCUACCUAAGAUCUUUCUUUCUGUCUUGCUUUUGAAUACCAGCCUUACAAAAGUCUUUCUUUUUGCUCUAGGUUGUUUAGACUUAUAAGUAAAUAUUAGACUUGUAAGUGUUUUAUAUCAAGUUUUAACAAAGUGCCUAGGAAAUUAUUUUUAAAGAAAUUUUUAUAAUAAGGCCAUCAAUUCAAAAAAGUUCCAUUUAGUUUGGGCUCUUCUCAGCCAAAAUUUCUGCAGUAUAAUUGUUUGGGCUGCAAUUAUGCAGGGGAGUGAUGGUGACUCCACGUGAGCCCCCUGGGAGAACAUGAAACCCUCUAAGUCAACAAUCAUAGCAGGGUCUGGUCCUAGAGCCAAAAGGGAGUUUCAAAUGGAGGGUCUAUAUCUGCAGCAGAAACAAUUAUUUUUCUAAUCUCCCCCUUUGAUUAUCUUCUAUUCAUAAAUCCAGAGUAUUUAUUUCCAAAACACAUACCUGGAAAGUCUUCAUGGGCUUAAUGCAUGAGUGUUCAAGCUGCCCUGAUGUAGAUAGUUACAUCACAUAUUUCACACAGGCCAAAGAUGAGAUUGAGCAAAGAUACUCACAUUUGCUGAAAAGAUACGCUUCCACAUCUCCAUGAGCACAUUCAAUUCAUAUUUACAUUAUGUAUUCCUUCAUUUUGAUCUUUCAUUUAUUAACCAUGUCAAUUGCUCAUUUAAUGACUAUUGAUCGAGGUUCUAUUGCAUCUAUAUCAUAUACAUAACUACAGACACAGCCGGGCUUGUAUUUUUGUAAGCUCUGUGGGAACCUAACCUAUAUGUAGCAGAGGAAAGCAAGGAGUGGGUUGGGGAUGAAUAACAUGGAGACAGAAACAGGGUUCUCCUUCAACAUUAUUUUAAAAAGGGGUGAAGACCUUUGGUGUGUGUCUGUUGGAUAUACGAUGGAAGUAUUCAUUCAAUGGUGUCUCUCAAGCAAAUGCCACACCUCACGCACCAUCUCAAGUACUUAUACAAGAAAAGACAUUGUCCUUGUCUCCCAGGAUUUUCCAUUCUGUAGUCUGACUGCAGGCCCAUGAUAUGUACACAUAAAACAGUAAGUCUCAUGGUGGAUAAUGAGGCUCCAUAUUGAAAGGUGUAGAUAACAACUUCAAGGUGAAUUAUAAAUUUUGGAUAAUUACAAUGUUCGUGAUGUGGUCUGAAAGUUAGGGCUUGGACUUCCCCCAUUUUGCUGAGAAAUAUGUAGUCUGGGAAAGGAGAUAACCAGAGGAGCAUGAACAGGUGCAUCCAUCCACCUUUUCACCCUCUCAUCUUGCACCCCAUGAGCUUUGUUCCUUGAAAAGAGAAACAAGCUCAUUACUAUGAAUGUACAUAAUGUUUGAUCAUUUUUACUAUCUGUCAUAGCAGAUACAAAAACUGAUAGUCCUAUUAUAAGGAUGAAUAACCCACUUUUCUUUAAACCUUCAAGAUAGUUUACUGACAUAUUGAAAUAUGAAUUUAAAUGAGAUGAAAUACAUAUGCAUAUGUAGUUACACAAACACCUUUAAUAAAACAUUAAGAAUUGAAAAAAAAAUAUUAUGGUGUUCCUUGCCUUUUUUGCAGCCCAACUAGCUAAACUUUAAAACUGAUAAUAAGUCAAAAACAAAUGUUAGAAAGAAUAAACAUAUGAUUUUUUUCUCCAUGAUGACUACUUGAAAUUAUUUUGGAAGUACUAGGAUUCCUUAAAAAAAAAGUCAACUAUAAAAUCUAAAAUAUAUAUUUUUUUAUUUUUCCUGGUGCUUCUGGUAUACCAGCAAAGUGUAAUCCUGCACUGUUUUGCAUUAAAAUUUAAGAUGUGACUGCAUUGUGUUUCUUUUCUACCUUUUACUCAUAAAGUAGCUAUCAAAAUGCCCUGCUAUGAUUUCAUGUUCUAUUUCCUUUCUGUUCCUAAAUUCUGUUGGUAACAUAUAGGAGCUUUAAUAACAUACUUAACCAGUUACACUUCUGGGCAGUUAUUUCUCUUUAGCAUUCUAAGCUAUGAUUAAGCUUUCCUAAAUGUAACACAGAAAUAAGGAACAUAUAUUCUCUAGA
rnacentral:lncRNA from 1 species